rnacentral:lncRNA from 1 species
AAGACGUAUGACUCUUGAAAUUUACAUAGGGAGAAAGGAGAUUGCCUACUGGAAGUCCAGGUGAUUGGGUGUAGGGGAAAAGCUGUGUGUGGCUUCGCAGCCCAACUGGGAGGAGGGGACAGGGGCGGGAAGUGGCAGGAAAUGGCGAAAGCCUCAGGAAUGUUUCCAGCAGGGAAGGCUGGGCAAACGGGGCCAGGAGGAAUGCCCAGACAAGAACUCUG